UUAAUUUCCAUGUUUCCUGUAUGUAAUUUUGUUGAAUAAGUAUUAGGUUCUAGUCAUUUUAUUGAAAUCAUUUGUUUUUAUGUGCCAAUCAAGUAUUAGGUUCUAGUCAUUUUAUUGAAAUCAUUUGUAACUUAAUGUGCCAAUCAAGGAAAGUGUUUUAUAUAAUUUUGAAUCUUGUUUACAGAAGUGUACUAGCAGUGCAUAAUUUUGAUUAAUACAAUACUGUUGAUUUUGUUUUAACAAUGAGUUUGUUGAUUAUUUUGAAAUAGCGAUUACCUUGGUCUGUUUCAUCAAAACAUUUUUCAUAUCACUAGACUUCAGGAUUUGGUUGAUAGAGACACCAUACCGGUACAUAGAAUUUAUUAUUGUUAUACAUAUGCAUUCUUAAUGAAUGAUAGAGUUUAUCGUUGAAAUGAUUUGCUCAUGCAGGUAAAUUUGAAAUUAAUAAUAUAUGGUUGCAAAAAGGUUG